rnacentral:rRNA from 1 species
UACGUGGGUCCCGAGCGUUGUCCGGAUUUAUUGGGCGUAAAGCGAGCGCAGGUGGUUUAUUAAGUCUGGUGUAAAAGGCAGUGGCUCAACCAUUGUAUGCAUUGGAAACUGGUAGACUUGAGUGCAGGAGAGGGGAGUGGAAUUCCAUGUGUAGCGGUGAAAUGCGUAGAUAUAUGGAGGAACACCGGUGGCGAAAGCGGCUCUCUGGCCUGUAACUGACACUGAGGCUCGAAAGCGUGGGGAGCAAACAGG